rnacentral:rRNA from 1 species
CCUACGUGAGGCAGCAGUGGGGAAUAUUGCACAAUGGGGGAAACCCUGAUGCAGCGACGCCGCGUGAGUGAAGAAGUAUUUCGGUAUGUAAAGCUCUAUCAGCAGGGAAGAAAUAAAGUCCUUCGGACUUUGGACGGUACCUGACUAAGACGCCCCGGCUAACUACGUGCCAGCAGCCGCGGUAAUACGUAGGGGGCAAGCGUUAUCCGGAUUUACUGGGUGUAAAGGGAGCGUAGACGGCAGUGCAAGUCUGGAGUGAAAGGCGGGGGCUCAACCCCCGGACUGCUCUGGAAACUGUACGGCUGGAGUGCAGUAGAGGUAAGUGGAAUUCCUAGUGUAGCGGUGAAAUGCGUAGAUAUUAGGAGGAACACCAGUGGCGAAGGCGGCUUACUGGACUGUAACUGACGUUGAGGCUCGAAAGCGUGGGGAGCAAACAGGAUUAGAUACCCCAGUAGUC